UAGGGAAUCUUCGGCAAUGGACGAAAGUCUGACCGAGCAACGCCGCGUGAGUGAAGAAGGUUUUCGGAUCGUAAAACUCUGUUGUUAGAGAAGAACAAGGACGUUAGUAACUGAACGUCCCCUGACGGUAUCUAACCAGAAAGCCACGGCUAACUACGUGCCAGCAGCCGCGGUAAUACGUAGGUGGCAAGCGUUGUCCGGAUUUAUUGGGCGUAAAGCGAGCGCAGGCGGUUUCUUAAGUCUGAUGUGAAAGCCCCCGGCUCAACCGGGGAGGGUCAUUGGAAACUGGGAGACUUGAGUGCAGAAGGGGGGAGGGAAAUUCCAUGUGUAGCGGUGAAAUGCGUAGAUAUAUGGAGGAACACCAGUGGCGAAGGCGGCUCUCUGGUCUGUAACUGACGCUGAGGCUCGAAAGCGUGGGGAGCAAACAGG
rnacentral:rRNA from 1 species